GUGGAAUGAAAUAAGGAAGUAGAGAUAUAAACAAGAAAAUGACUUAGAAGUUAUUAUUUUUCUUGAAACUGUGUUAAUUUCAUUUCACCAGUGUAUUAUUAUCUGUGGCCCCUACGUAAUAAUCUGAACAACAAAAAAUUUUUAGACUCGAAUUUGGAGAAAAAACUCAGAUGAAGAUAUUUAUAUAAAUCGAUAGAGGAGAAUGAUAGAAUUUUUGUGGUCAUAUACAAAGUGUUCGUAAUUUUUCUAAUUUGAAUUUCAAAGCAAAACCUCCAUCUCACGAAAAUAAUACGACCAUAAUAAAACCUAUCAUUCAAUUCUCCCCAAAAGUAAGCACUCGACAGAUUGAAAAGGAGGACAAUUAUAGAGCAAGUUAAACAACUGAAAGUGGACCAAAAGUAAACAUGUGACAGUCUGAAAAGGAGGAUAUGGAACAACUGAAAGUACCCCAAAAGUAAGCAUUUGAAUCUGAAAGGGGCAUAAUUAUAGAGGACGUGGAACAACUGAGGGUAUCUCAAAAGUAAGCAUGUGACAAUCUGAAAAGGACGACAAUAAUAGAGGAUAUAGAACAGUUGAAAGGACCCCAAAAGUUAAUACGAUUGGUGAACAUGUUUAGAGAGAGGCAGGAUAAAGAAGAUUGAAAAUAAUGGAAAUGGAAGAAACAAAAUAGUACAGUUAAGUGACCUCAGCUUCGAAGUACACUUUUAAUUGAGAUAAGCAACAAGAAUGACACAAAAUACGUGACGAGACACAUAAUUCUUGCAGGACGUAGGGUAUAUGGUGGAUAAAAGCGGACACACAUCAAAAAAAUGAAAAAACGAUAGCGGAAAAGUAUAAUUACAAAAUGGAGAACGAGAAAAUAGUGCCAGGAAGACCGAAAAGUAGAUGCAGGGUCAAAAGAGCACAAUUCGAGCCGGUACAAUUCUUUAUACAUCAAAGAGGGACAAUAGGAGAACAUAAAUUCAUCAAAGCGCAACAAACAACUACUAUUUUGUCCAAUAUAUCGCAAUCUUCCGGAUUACUUCCUUUUUUAAUCAAACUAAUCGGUAUGGUAUCUUUGACAAUUUUAAAUUUAUUUUUCAUCAUUCCGACAAUUUUCUUAACGUGAAUUCUAACAUGGGAAACGUUUCUAGUUAGCUCUAUAUCCAAAGGAUGUAAUUGAUCCUUAAUCUUUAUAAAAACUUGUAUAUCACAAUUUAUUGAUGAAUCCUCAGAAGUAUCUUCAAUUAAAAACCCCCUAUUCGCUAAAACAACGUCGCCCGGUGAAAUAUAAUUCAAAAAAUCACUAUUCGCAACGAUUUCUUCGUCUGUAGCCGUCCCUUCACAAGCUUUACUAACGUAACUAACCGUUCCCUGUGGAGUGAACCCUAUUAAAAAUUUUAUAAUGUUGUCGUGUUUGUUUUUCGACCAAUACUGUUGUUGGUGCGGUUUUUCGAUAAAAAAUUCGAAACAAUCUACAAUAACGGUCGUUUUGUCUUGAAAAGCUUCUCCGAAACAAGAAGGUAUAUUUUUUUGUGCCACUAAACGGUCCGGGAAUCUUAUUAAAUGCUUGAAUUUGGUAUAAAGAAUAUUCAAAAUGUUUUCGAAAUAUGUAAAACUGGAGGUCGGGGAAAUUUUAAAGUGCCAAGCUAAAUCGCAAAAAUCAUAAUUCAACCUCAAUUUAAUAAGAGCUAGCAGCAACUGAUUAAAGCUACUAAGGGCGUUAGUACUUUGGGUAGUGAUACUAGUUUCGAUAGUUUUGAAAAUAAUAUAAAAUGUAACGUUGUAGGUGAAACCUGUAUAAUACUUCCACUUCAAAUCGUUGCUGGUCUCCUCCCGAAGACCAAACGGUGACAUGUCCAAUUUUUUUUCCAAAUCUUCCAUUUUUCUUGUAGCGCAACUGAGUUGAUCGAAUUUCAAGUAAAGAUCAUUCAUGGUAAGAUCCGUUUGAGACGCGAUACCAGUCUCAACAUGUACCGUGAUAUUUGAUUCAUCAAGUUUAAUAAACUUAAAAUAACAUCAAGUAAAAAUAAUAUUACAGGCCGUUUGUUUUUACACACUUACCUUACCACUUUUAAAUCUUUUUGUGUAUAAAAUAUUCUCAUCGUCAGAUUGUCUUUCAACUUUUGGAGAAUUGCGUCCCAUAUUUUGAGACGGAAUCCAGUCAGGAUGACUGUACUCCUCUAAAGCAGCAGGCUUUCCUAACAUUAAUACAAAAUAUAUUGAAACUUUUCGUCAAUACGAAGCGACAUAUUGAAAUAUAUUUCUAACACACACUUUGCGGUAUUUAAAAUUCGCGCUAACUGAACUCGCUUUACGCGAACGCAUUGAUUGAUCAUUUAAAGCGUGUGACAACCAGUACAAUAUCAAUUGAUUGGUCUUUUUAAACUAAAAGAAUAUGAAUUUAAGUUGGCAAUUCUAUUGAUUCCUGAUUGGUCGAAUUCCGGCCGGUUUUACAUAGCACUUUUGACAUUUAUGACAUAUGACAAUUGUAUAAAUUAUAAACAAAUAUUUUACAUUUUGUUCUUUCUUGCAUAAUUGCUAUUGUUUUAUUAAAAUAUAAAAACAGUUCUUGUAACAACUAAUUUGAAAAUGGACGCAGAUAAUAUUCCAAAUACAGUCGUCUGUAAUUGUAGGUCACUUAUCGUCUAUAGAGAAGUAAAACAUUGUGAAGCUGUAUAAACAAAUCUCAGAUGACGAACCAGAGACAAAGGUGAUUGCCGUUGUGCUUAAAAUUGUAAAAACGUUGGGUAAGUCAUCGAAAAUAGCAUUUUUGUAUCUGGGGGAACGGCAAUGCUCCCGCCAAGUCGAGCAAAAAAUUUUGUCACUGACUGAUCGAUCUUCAAAACUUUAAGGCACUUCUAGUAGGCAUAGAAGCUUCAAAUUUUCAAUGCAAUUACUAUUUAGUGUAUAAAUCACGGAAAAACUAAAAUAUUUUGCAGUUUCAGUUCGGUAGUUGUAAUAUGCCGUCAGUUUUGAAACAAAAUGUAUCAACGCUAUUUAAAAAGGCUCUGUUUUGGACAGAAGAAAGCAAAUAUGAAAAUAAAAAACGAAACAAAGAAAAAAUUCCUUCUGCCAUUACAUCAGAAAGUCGACAGGAAUACCAUGAUAAAAUAACUAGAAAAGAAGUAGGAAGAAAAAGAAAGAAGUGCUGAAGAGAGGAAACGCAAGCAAGAGGUAAAGAAAACAACACAAAAAUCAGUUAAAAGAAAAAAAACUAUGAUAGACUUUGAAAUCUCAUAUGAUAGCGAGGAAUGGGAAGAAAGUAGUGAUAGCAUAGAUGUUCAAUGAGAUAAGGAGGAAUCCGAAGAUGAGGCCGAAUGUGAAAACAAGCAAGAAGUUAAUUUAAAAUCAAAAGGGAAUCUAAAAUUCUAAAUUUUGUAUUGGCAAAGUUUUUGGGAGACUGAUGGAACACGAUAUUUCCACAAUAAAAAUGGAAGACUAAGAAACUGAAUUGCAAAAUAUUGGCGAUUGAAUAAAAUAUACUUUUUCAAAGGAGAUAGAUAUUUUUGAAGCUUAAAUUCUAUUCUUGUACCCAAUUUGAUUAUCUCUCAUAUUUUAUGCCUAAAAAUAAAGUUUUUGUCAAUAAUUGGUGUGUCAAUCAUUGAUACUUGUCAAUUGCUAGUGUGUCAACAACUGAAUAAUAGGUGUCGA